AGACCCGAAACCCGGUGAUCUAGCCAUGGGCAGGUUGAAGGUUGGGUAACACUAACUGGAGGACCGAACCGACUAAUGUUGAAAAAUUAGCGGAUGACCUGUGGCUGGGGGUGAAAGGCCAAUCAAACCGGGAGAUAGCUGGUUCUCCCCGAAAGCUAUUUAGGUAGCGCCUCGUGAAUUCAUCUCCGGGGGUAGAGCACUGUUUCGGCUAGGGGGCCAUCCCGGCUUACCAACCCGAUGCAAACUGCGAAUACCGGAGAAUGUUAUCACGGGAGACACACGGCGGGUGCUAACGUCCGUCGUGAAGAGGGAAACAACCCAGACCGCCAGCUAAGGUCCCAAAGUCAUGGUUAAGUGGGAAACGAUGUGGGAAGGCCCAGACAGCCAGGAUGUUGGCUUAGAAGCAGCCAUCAUUUAAAGAAAGCGUAAUAGCUCACUGGUCGAGUCGGCCUGCGCGGAAGAUGUAACGGGGCUAAACCAUGCACCGAAGCUGCGGCAGCGACACUGUGUGUUGUUGGGUAGGGGAGCGUUCUGUAAGCCUGCGAAGGUGGCCUGUGAGGGUUGCUGGAGGUAUCAGAAGUGCGAAUGCUGACAUAAGUAACGAUAAAGCGGGUGAAAAGCCCGCUCGCCGGAAGACCAAGGGUUCCUGUCCAACGUUAAUCGGGGCAGGGUGAGUCGACCCCUAAGGCGAGGCCGAAAGGCGUAGUCGAUGGGAAACGGGUUAAUAUUCCCGUACUUGGUGUUACUGCGAAGGGGGGACGGAGAAGGCUAUGUUGGCCGGGCGACGGUUGUCCCGGUUUAAGCGUGUAGGUGUGUGUUCCAGGUAAAUCCGGUUCACUUUAACACUGAGGCGUGACGACGAGGCACUACGGUGCUGAAGCAACAAAUGCCCUGCUUCCAGGAAAAGCCUCUAAGCAUCAGGUAACAUCAAAUCGUACCCCAAACCGACACAGGUGGUCAGGUAGAGAAUACCAAGGCGCUUGAGAGAACUCGGGUGAAGGAACUAGGCAAAAUGGUGCCGUAACUUCGGGAGAAGGCACGCUGACACGUAGGUGAAGUGAUUUACUCAUGGAGCUGAAGUCAGUCGAAGAUACCAGCUGGCUGCAACUGUUUAUUAAAAACACAGCACUGUGCAAACACGAAAGUGGACGUAUACGGUGUGACGCCUGCCCGGUGCCGGAAGGUUAAUUGAUGGGGUCAGCGCAAGCGAAGCUCCUGAUCGAAGCCCCGGUAAACGGCGGCCGUAACUAUAACGGUCCUAAGGUAGCGAAAUUCCUUGUCGGGUAAGUUCCGACCUGCACGAAUGGCGUAAUGAUGGCCAGGCUGUCUCCACCCGAGACUCAGUGAAAUUGAACUCGCUGUGAAGAUGCAGUGUACCCGCGGCAAGACGGAAAGACCCCGUGAACCUUUACUAUAGCUUGACACUGAACAUUGAGCCUUGAUGUGUAGGAUAGGUGGGAGGCUUUGAAGUGUGGACGCCAGUCUGCAUGGAGCCGACCUUGAAAUACCACCCUUUAAUGUUUGAUGUUCUAACGUGGACCCGUUACCCGGGUUGCGGACAGUGUCUGGUGGGUAGUUUGACUGGGGCGGUCUCCUCCUAAAGAGUAACGGAGGAGCACGAAGGUUGGCUAAUCCUGGUCGGACAUCAGGAGGUUAGUGCAAUGGCAUAAGCCAGCUUGACUGCGAGCGUGACGGCGCGAGCAGGUGCGAAAGCAGGUCAUAGUGAUCCGGUGGUUCUGAAUGGAAGGGCCAUCGCUCAACGGAUAAAAGGUACUCCGGGGAUAACAGGCUGAUACCGCCCAAGAGUUCAUAUCGACGGCGGUGUUUGGCACCUCGAUGUCGGCUCAUCACAUCCUGGGGCUGAAGUAGGUCCCAAGGGUAUGGCUGUUCGCCAUUUAAAGUGGUACGCGAGCUGGGUUUAGAACGUCGUGAGACAGUUCGGUCCCUAUCUGCCGUGGGCGCUGGAGAACUGAGGGGGGCUGCUCCUAGUACGAGAGGACCGGAGUGGACGCAUCACUGGUGUUCGGGUUGUCAUGCCAAUGGCACUGCCCGGUAGCUAAAUGCGGAAGAGAUAAGUGCUGAAAGCAUCUAAGCACGAAACUUGCCCCGAG
rnacentral:rRNA from 6 species